rnacentral:lncRNA from 1 species
GCAAUUCCUGUGUGGGUAUUAGACUGAGCUUAGUGUUUGUUUAUAGGUAAAUGCCUCACAAAGAUCGCCACAGGUAGCAGAGGGCUGGCACAGAGACACCGAUGCUUUCUGAGUUUUAAUAUGAUACCCAAAUGAAUGAGUAGGGACCUGCAGCUUGACUGUUUUCUUCAAUCAGAAUGGCUGCCUUCAGCAAGCAAAUUGCUCCAUUCAAAUCAUCAGAGCUGCCAUUGAUGGACACAGAGAGUGUUAAAACCCAGAGCACAUAAACCAGGAUGAGAAAAUUAAUCAGAAGAUAAAAGACAGCGGCUUUGGGAUCCCUGGCCGAGCCCUCCUGCAUGCUCCUGGGACAUCCUUUCAGACCAGCAGCACCAUCCCGUGCAGGGGCUGUGACAGAUGACUUAUAAUGUAGACAUCACCUCUGCUGGUGGACAGCCUUCGGAUCUGCUGAGUCCUUUUAUAAUAAAUAAAACCAAACACGAC